rnacentral:rRNA from 1 species
CAAGGCCUUGCGCUCUUUGAGCGGCCGAUGUCAGAUUAGCUAGUUGGUGAGGUAAAGGCUUACCAAGGCGACGAACUGUAGCGGGUCUGAGAGGAUGAUCCGCCACACUGGAACUGAGACACGGUCCAGACUCCUACGGGAGGCAGCAGUGGGGAAUUUUGGACAAUGGGGGCAACCCUGAUCCAGCCAUGCCGCGUGAGUGAAGAAGGCCUUCGGGUUGUAAAGCUCUUUCGGCCGGGAAGAAAUCGCAUGGGCCAAUACCCUGUGUGGAUGACGGUACCGGAAUAAGAAGCACCGGCUAACUACGUGCCAGCAGCCGCGGUAAUACGUAGGGUGCGAGCGUUAAUCGGAAUUACUGGGCGUAAAGCGUGCGCAGGCGGUUUUGUAAGACAGGCGUGAAAUCCCCGGGCUUAACCUGGGAACUGCGUUUGUGACUGCAAGGCUAGAGUACGGCAGAGGGGGUGGAAUUCCACGUGCAUCAGUGAAAUGCGUAGAGAUGUGGAGGAACACCAAUGGCGAAGGCAGCCCCCUGGGUCGAUACUGACGCUCAUGCACGAAAGCGUGGGUAGCAGACAGGAUUAGAUACCCUGGUAGUCCACGCCCUAAACUAUGUCAACUAGGUGUUGGGUGGGUAAAACCAUUUAGUACCGUAGCUAACGCGUGAAGUUGACCGCCUGGGGAGUACGGCCGCAAGGUUAAAACUCAAAGGAAUUGACGGGGACCCGCACAAGCGGUGGAUGAUGUGGAUUAAUUCGAUGCAACGCGAAAAACCUUACCUACCCUUGACAUGCCGGGAACUUGCCAGAGAUGGCUUGGUGCCCGAAAGGGAGCCUGGACACAGGUGCUGCAUGGCUGUCGUCAGCUCGUGUCGUGAGAUGUUGGGUUAAGUCCCGCAACGAGCGCAACCCUUGUCGUUAAUUGCCAUCAUUUAGUUGGGCACUUUAACGAGACUGCCGGUGACAAACCGGAGGAAGGUGGGGAUGACGUCAAGUCCUCAUGGCCCUUAUGGGUAGGGCUUCACACGUCAUACAAUGGUCGGUACAAAGGGUUGCCAAGCCGCGAGGCGGAGCCAAUCCCAGAAAGCCGAUCGUAGUCCGGAUUGCAGGCUGCAACUCGCCUGCAUGAAGUCGGAAUCGCUAGUAAUCGUGGAUCAGCAUGUCACGGUGAAUACGUUCCCGGGUCUUGUACACACCGCCCGUCACACCAU